UAGGUUUGCAAUUGUAUUGGUUAAUUAUAAAAUUAUCAAUUUUAUAGUAUUAAAAUGGGAAUCAGGUGCAAAACCUGAACAGUACCCGCUGCUGUAUGCUCUUUAAAACUUUUUGACAAUACCAUAGCCACUGUUUCGCAAAAUGCGAAAUGGGAAGGCGUCGAAAAGAGAGCGAGUCAGAAGACCUGCCAGUAUAAAUAUCGUUUG
rnacentral:ncRNA from 2 species